GAAGUGGAGUUUAUUUGUCUUGGCUCUCAGUACAAAAGGCUCUUUGUAAUAAAGAUUCUGGAUAUAAAGUUCCUCUCUCAAUAAAGUCCUCUCAAGAUGUGAUAUAUAUUUUUGAAGGUAGAACUGUUCAUGGCCAUCUGAUGGAAAGGUUGAGCUCUGACCCAUCACGCACUGUGUAUUCUGACGCCUUUCUAUCAGAACCAGCAUUAACGUCUUCAGCAAUUUGAGCAACAGUAGCUCGUCUGUUGGAUCGGAUCACACGGGCCAGGCUUCGCUCCCCACGUGCAUCAAUGAACCUUGGCCGCCCAUGACCCUGUCACCGGGUUCACCACUGUUCCUUCCUUGGACCACUUUUAAUAGAUACUGACCACUGCAGACCGGGAACACCCCCCAAGAGCUGCAGUUUUGGAGAUGCUCUGAUCCGGUUGUCUAGCCGUUCUUAACCUUUCAAAUAAGCAGUUUCUAUCUGAAUCACUGUCAAAAGAGAAAUUACACUUGGUGAGAGCAUAUAUGAUGUAAAAACAUUCUAAUGAGACAGCAAGUGGGUGAAAGUUAACCUUAAACACAUUCAUAAAUGUCUAUAUUCGUUUUUUAUCUAACAAUAAGUGAUUCACUGGCUCAUAUUUUUGCCUUGGCAGGUAGAUGUUUGAUUAGUUAAGCUGACAGCCGUGAAGUGAACUACACUUAUUGCAGGCAGUGUGUUUGAAGGGUUUCUCCUUCUAAUCGUCAUUAUCGUUAUUCUCCUCAAGGUAAACGGUUUUACUCUUCUUGCCACAUAGUUGAAUGGUUUCUUGUUAAUCCCUUGUUCUUGUUAACAUUCAUCUUAAAAUGUUAAUACUUUUCCGUAGAUGCUACAAGAUGGAUUACAGACAAUGUUUACACAUGCACAAUAGUGACCUGAUAAUUACUUACCAUUGUAUCGUUUUUAGACAACUCUGCACAGAUGUAUUAUUAUUAUUAUUAUUAUUAUUAUUAUUAUUUAUAUUUUAUAUUUUAUUAUCACUUGUAUAACGAUCAGGCAUAACAUUAUGAUCUCCUCAUCAUGGCACCUGUUAGUGGGUGGGAUAUAUUAGGCAGCAAGUGAACAUUUUGUCCUCAAAGUUGAUGUGUUCGAAGCAGGAAAAAUGGGCAAGCGUAAGGAUUUGAGCGAGUUUGACAAGGGCCAAAUUGUGAUGGCUAGACCACUGGAUCAGGGCAUCUCUAAAACUGCAGCUCUUGUGGGGUGUUCCCGGUCUGCAGUGGUCAGUAUCUAUCAAAAGUAUCUUUUAAGUCCUGUAAGUUGAAGGCUCCACUUCGCAACUUACAGGACCUAAUGGAUCUGCUGCUAACAUCUUGGUGCCAGAUAUCACAGCACACCUUCAGGGAUCUAGUAGAAUCCAUGCCUUGAUGGGUCAGGGCUGUUGUGGCAACAAAAGGGGGGCCAACACAAUAUUAGGCAGGUGGUCAUAAUGUUAUGCCUGAUCAGUGAAUAUGUUUUUUUCUUUAUUUGCUUUUGCUUUAUGCUUGCUUAGGGCCUGCUGUCAUGCUUUAUAUACAAGUUGCAUGAAAAAAUGAAGUCACAAUUCUGUUACAUUUACAUAAUUGAAUACCUGAGCCUGUGUGAGCCCUCUAGCACAUGAAUGAGAAAUAUUUCUGUAUGCUGAAAAGAAAAACCCAAUGCUCUUUGCUUAGUACUUAGUCCUCUGGGUUGUUGAUUGAAGGAUCGGGGUUCAAGCCCUAGCGCCACCAAGCACUACUGCUGGGCAAUUGAGCAAGGCCUUUAACCCUCUCUACUCCAGGGGCGCUGCAUCAUAGCUGCUCCUGCACUCUGACCCCAACUUCCUCAGCUGGGACACGUGAGGAAAAGUAUUCCACUGUGCUGUAAUGUAUGUGUGAUGAUAAUUAAGGCUUCUUGCCCACAGUUUUUCUUAUUUCCAUCCAUUCUUUACUUCUAUCUUUUAAUUAAUUUACACUUAUAAAUGCAAUCAUUUGUUUAUGUUUUUUAAUUAAUGUUUGUUUACCUAACUGGAAUAAUUAAUAUAUCUUUGUAUUACUGGGGGUUAACUGUGGUGUGAGUUCUGGUGCAAACUGCUUCAGAGAAAAUUCUUACUAACUUCAUAAGUAUCAAAUUUCUAUACAGAUGUCACAUUAUGGCAGCAUUGUGGCUUACUGGUUAGUACUGUUGCCUCACAGCAAGAAGGUCCUGGGUUUGAGUCCUGGGUUUGAACAGGCAGGGGCCUUUCUGUGUGGAGUUGUGCAUGUUCUCCCCGUACCUGCGUGGGUUUACUCUGGUUUCCUCCAACAGUCCAAAAACAUGUACAUCAGGUUGAUUGGUAAUUCUAAAUUGCCCAUAGGUGUGAGUGUGUGUGGUUGUCUGUCUAUAUGUGGCCCUGCGAUGGACUGGCGACCUGUCCAGGGUGUACCCCUGCCUUUCACUCUAUGUGCUCUGGGAUAGGCUCCAGCAGACCCCCGUGACCCUAAUUAGGAAUAAGUGGGUAUAGACAAUGGAUGGAUGGAUGUCACAUUACAGCAAUCCACAUACUACAUGGCGACAUACAAAAAUAACUGCUCAGGACUACAGACCACAAAAAAAUGUAAUAUUAUAAUGUUUCCAAUAACUGCAGAAAGGUGAGCUUCUACACCACAAGAUCCCAUGAAAAUUAGCGCAGAGUAUUAACAAAAAGUGUGUGGCAGAAAAGAAUAACUAAACCUAAAACUAAAAAACAUGAACAUUUUUAAGUUAUAUAACUUAAACCAUGUAGAGAAAACAUUAAAACGGUGUCUAAAGUGUGACGUAAUGAAGGGCUGCUUUAGCUUACUGUACCUGAUGGAUAAGGGGAAGGGAAAAAAAUGUGUGUGUGUGUCAUUUAACUGUUAAAGGUUAACCGUUUUUGUAGCACUCUGUUGGUCAGCAUCUUUAAAGAAAUUGGGGGUGUGUUGGUUGCUUAUCUAUGCACUGUAAAAAAUAAAAUCACCACUUGUCCAGCAUACUGUACUUUUUGAGUCACAUAUACUAAGAAUUGUGAAUAACUAUGAAUCUACAUAAAAAUGCAUGCUGUUUCAACAAUGUUCUCCAAAACGUUAUACCUACAUCUUUAAGUUUUCAGGCAUGCGUGAUGCAUGAUGCACCAGUCGAAAUCACGCCAGCACCUCCCAUUUAUCUCAGUGUUAUAUUGGACUUCGCUCAUAUUGUGACUCUUCGAGGACCUAAAUAUUGCCAUCUCAAACUGUUAGUGACAUAGGACUGUAAAUAGGCAUUCACCAGGUGAUUGUGUCCUUACUGCUAAGAUAAAAUAUUGAAAAAGUCAACUGAUAAAGCAUGCAAUAAAUGUACUAUGUAUCAGUGAAUUUGAGUUAACUGUGGGUUUAUUAUCAGUAAUUAAGUAAUGAAUGUAAUCAUUAAAAACACACACACACACUGGAAAGUUGGCUAAUCACAGGCCUGUGGCACUAUUUGAAACUAGAUUUUGCUCUCCUUUCUUUCUGACUUGCAAAUUUCUCAAUCUGGUUAAAGUCAGUUAUCUCAGUGACCAGUCUCUUUUCCGUUGACAGCGUGUAAGCUCGACCGCUAUCACGUGACUAGCUGCUGAAUUUUCAUAUUGAGUCGAUCUGGUUCAAGCUCAUUGAUUCUUUUCUUUUCUUCAUCAGAACGCCUUGUGAAAGGGUAUUUUUUGUAAAGAUAUAACUGGAUUUUCUUUCAUCUCGAGAUAUUUCGCUUGCUUCCACGUUAAUCAGUACCUCUCCGUUAACCGUAGGGAUGUGCACAUCGAUGCCGGAGUAUGGAUAUAUCGAUACUCAGAAGCUUCAAAUUCGGUAUCGAUAUUUUCUAAAAAGUAUCGAUAUUUUAACUACAUUAAUAAUUUCUGCAUAACUAAAUGUUUUCAGCGCUGUGUACAGGAUUGUCGGUGAUGGUUUGUAUAUAUGGUGUUACACACCGUUUGGUCUGUGGCAGAACAUGAGCGAUCAUGAGCCAUUCAGCUACGUACUCAACACACACACACACACACACACACACACACAUGAACGAAAUACAGCUUUGAUUUUUUUUUUAUUUUAAAUAAAUGAUAAUAUGACUAACAGUAGAAUAGUAAGACUAAAUGAUUUUAUUUCGUUAUUAAAAUAUAUAAUUAUUGUUAACGUAGCAUUCAUCUCUGGCUAACUUUAAAAUGGUCUAAUCCACUACUAACUAUAUUAAAUUAUUUGGGUUCUCUCUCUCUCUCUCCCUUUAAAUUAAUAUAAGGUUGUGAUUUAACAAUAUAAAGUUAGAACUGGUUAUUUUCUAUUUUGCAGGAGGAUCUAAAGACUUAAUGCAGUGUAAAAACUGCAAAUUCGGCAAUUCAAGCGAAGAUGUCCAUCUGAAGCUCUAUCAGCUGCAUCACCAAAGAAUUUCCAACUUGGCCUUGCCAUUGUAUGGAGUGCGUUUGUGCCUUUAAAACUGCAGAUGCUUUAAGAUCCCACUUAUCUAAAUGAGUGAAUUCCGAGAGAUUUGUUCUGAGAAAAAGUUUUUCAUUCACCUUCAAAAUCAUCUGAAACGCAGAGAAACAAUUCAGUGUCCCUUUAAAGGAUGUGGAUUUAAAGCAAACAAUCUCCCAACCUUCAGCUCUCAUAGAAGCAGAAAUCAUAGAAAUUAUACAUAGAAGGACUUUCGAAGUGUAUUACAGACAGUCUCAGGGAGUGUUGAUAAUGAAGUGCUGUGUACCUCGCAGAGCGCUCUAGAAAGUGAAUUUGAUGAAUAGAGUCUAUUGAAGAUGUAAAUACUCGUACACUUGAAGGCAAGAUCUCCUUGCUUUUAUUGUGUAUGCAAACUGUCUUGCAUGUCUCAAAAAAUGCUUCUCACACAAUUGCUAAAGUAUUUUGUUAUUCUUUAUUUAAUAGAAAUGAUUCUAACAAAGCACUAUAUUAACAUUGAAAGUAGAGUAAUGAAAGAGAUUUCAGAUUCUGUGUUUCUAACAAAUCCACUUUUAGCAUCCAUAUCUGAAAAGGGUACUGUACUUUGCCUGUAGACGAAAGCUGUAUUUUAAAGAGAGCUUUUCUGUAAUUGAACCUUGUUAAAUCGAGACACCUUUUUAAAAUAACGUUGAAUUCACACAUGGACAUCUACCUGGACAGUACAGUACAUUUCAAGAUGGAACAUACUAUAGGGAUAAAGUGGAUAUGUUACAGUAGACAAUGUUAAACUAAGUUUAGCGUUUUAUUUAGAUGAGUUUGAAAUUUGCAGCCCUUUUAGGUACAUCACAAAAAAUUCACUGCUGUGUUCUGGGAGUGAGUAUAUUGGUAGGAGAAUGUUGGACAUGGAGCUGCCAGGAAGGAGGCAAAGAGGAAAUACAAAGAGGGGGUAUAUGGAUGUAAUAAAUGAGGAUAUGAAGCUAGUGGGUGCAAGUGUUGAGGAUGCAGAAGAUAGGGAUAGGUGGAGAGAGAUGAUUCGCUGUGGUGACCCCUGAUGGGAAAAGCCAAAAGAAGAAGAAGACUGCUGUACUGGGUGGUCUUAAAUUUACCUGCAAAGUGUAGAUCUACUUUAACAUCGAUCCAGUUAGCUGUUUAAGUAUUGAUGUUAAGAAAUUUGGCUAUGACAAGUUUCUGGAACCUUUGAUAAAAGAGUUAAAAGCUCUGGAGCGAGAUGGUGUGUUUGUGGAAGCUUUAGGACAUUACGUAAAGCCAAGUGUAUUCUGUGUGUGUGCAGAUCAUCUCUUUUAAUAUAGAUAAGUUCUGUCAAUUCUGUUUGAUUAGUCGCGAUCAGAUCGCAACUGUCAAAGCUUGUGACUUUCCUCUGAGAACUGUCGAUCAGCAUGAUCCAUUUGUGGAACAGCUUAAGCAGAGUGAUAUUCAGAGUGUUAAUGGUAUAAAGAGUGAGUGUGCAUUGAGCAUAUUUUCAUCCAGUAACUGGAUUUCCCCCCGGACAUUUUACAUGAUUUAUUUGAAGAGGUCAUACCUGUGGAACUAUCUUUGUGUCUGAGAGAUUUGAUUUCCAAAGGUUUCAUUACUCUUAAAAGAUUAAAUCACUUCAUUAAAACAAGUACUCUGACAGGGUCAACAGACCAAAGACAAUUCUAAAAACAGGUCUUGCUAAAGGAUCAAUCGGAGGAAAUGGACACGAAAAUUGGACUUUAUUGCGCUUGCUUGUGCUUUUCACUCUUUCCAUGAAACAUCAGCGUACCAUUUGGAUGCACAAAGCAUUUUAAAAUCAGACUUGCGUGUGGUUAGCAUAUCAUUGUUGGAUGCAACACUGAGGCAUGCUGUACAAACAAAGUUCCCACAUUUGCUUGACUGUGUUACUGUCCAGAGAUGUUUGUCUACAUGGUACUCGAUGUGCUAAAAACAGGAUAAUUUCUGCAGGACACUGCAAUGGACUGAGUUCGUCAAGAUAGAAAGCAGGUUGAUCUAUUCUGCCAAAGUGUCCUUUAUAUCAAAAAGGGUCUCUGCCUGGUAUAUAGAACAUUUGAGAUCUUAUGAACUUGUUGAAAGCCAGCAUGGUUGUCCUUGAUCCUGGUGACUUAAAUGGCUAUCACCCAUUGAUUCCAUACACUAUUGGAGCGAUUCAAUUUGCAGCAUUGAAUGUGCCUUAUAAUGGUAUGUAUGAAUUUGUUGUUUAAAUUAAAUAAUUGAAAAUAGCUUCUUAUUGAUUUACAGCCUUUACUACUGUGUCAUCAAGCCCAGAGAGUCCAGCUUCCUGAAGUGCCUGGACUCUCAGUGGACUCUCAUCAGUAUUCUUCAAGAGAAGCUGCAACUACAUGGACAAUUUUUCUUGCAGUUUGAGGACCCUGAUUUUGGGAAUGCCCUUUGCAACCUGUCUGAGAUCUCAGAACUGCCCAGUAAAAGAGCAGUCUUGCAUAUUCAGUGGUGUAAGUCAUCAGUUCAUGAAACCAGGAGCCUUCCAUCAAGUGUUUCAUCACUUGAUACUGCUAAUCUCGACUCCUCUGAAGAAAGCCCCCCCACGGUCUCUGUGCAAAACUGCCUCAGAAUGGCCCUCGCCAUUCCCCAUACCGACUGUCAUUUGAUAUCGAGCUAAAGGUAAGACGAGGAAAUGAGGCGUAUGAAAAACAAAAAUAGGCAUUGAUGUGACUAAAGACAGGAAAAUGGAGAUUCUUGACAAAAUUGUGCAGGCAUUUUUUGACAUAAAGGCAUCCCUUGACAAUCAGGAAAUUGAAAUCCAUUGCAUCUGCACUGAUUUCCAAGUAUACCUGUCUUAAGGAACCUGGCAAAGGAAAGGGUUUUGAGAGAUGGUUGUUAACAGGAAGUGAAAAGAUGAUGCAAAGAGUCUAAAGAGUUUUACCAUGAAGAAGGCAAAGCGUGGAGAAGUCAGUCAUGUUGCGGGACAUCCAUGCAACCACACUGACACUUCACUUGAAGAGCAAAGACUCCUUUUGGUGGAAAUAAACAAAAAAGGCAAGAAGAAACAUGGCAGCCAUAAGAGGGAAAAAAUGGAACUAACAUUUUCCCUCAGAAGAAAAGAAAUGGUCUAAGGGCAGCCAAUGGUUGUAGAGGUUCAGGAGAGGUGGCCUGCACUCUUUUUCCAAGAACAGAUCUGUGAGGAAUCUUUCCACAUCACCAACAAAGACCUUAUGGGAGUCUUCAUGGCAGCCAUUGACAAGUACACACCAAAGCUUCUGAACCUAUACAGAGCCAGAAAAGGAGCAUUUGGACAUGAAAUGGAAGAGCUCCUGGAAAGACUUUUGAU